AGCUUGCUCCUCUGAUUUAGCGGCGGACGGGUGAGUAACACGUGGGCAACCUGCCCUGUAGACUGGGAUAACUUCGGGAAACCGGAGCUAAUACCGGAUAAUCCAUUUUACCUCAUGGUGAAAUGUUGAAAGGCGCUUCGGCGUCACUACAGGAUGGGCCCGCGGUGCAUUAGCUAGUUGGUGGGGUAACGGCCUACCAAGGCAACGAUGCAUAGCCGACCUGAGAGGGUGAUCGGCCACAUUGGGACUGAGACACGGCCCAAACUCCUACGGGAGGCAGCAGUAGGGAAUCUUCCACAAUGGACGAAAGUCUGAUGGAGCAACGCCGCGUGAGUGAUGAAGGUUUUCGGAUCGUAAAACUCUGUUGUAAGGGAAGAACAAGUACGUUAGGAAAUGAACGUACCUUGACGGUACCUUAUUAGAAAGCCACGGCUAACUACGUGCCAGCAGCCGCGGUAAUACGUAGGUGGCAAGCGUUGUCCGGAUUUAUUGGGCGUAAAGCGCGCGCAGGUGGUUUCUUAAGUCUGAUGUGAAAGCCCACGGCUCAACCGUGGAGGGUCAUUGGAAACUGGGGAACUUGAGUGCAGAAGAGGAUAGUGGAAUUCCAAGUGUAGCGGUGAAAUGCGUAGAGAUUUGGAGGAACACCAGUGGCGAAGGCGACUGUCUGGUCUGUAACUGACACUG
rnacentral:rRNA from 1 species